GAAUGAGCUUAACAUUCGAACUCAUAGAUUUUGGAUACUUUCCAUCGGAUCGACAUCGAGCAAGUUUCAAUGUUAAUACAUAUCCGAAGGGAUGAUACUGACUACCGAAGCAGUUCUCAACGGACGAGUGUCAGGUGCGCAUCCAAAGAAAAGAAAGGUUUCUUCGAGAUGCUUAAUUUGCAGUUUGUUAGUAUUCGUGAAAAUUUUAAUUUAAUGUCGAUUUGUUUACUGUAUAUUAAAGUUUAUAAUUUAGAAUUUUUAUAUACAAUCGAGUGAUUUCAAGUGAUAUAAUAGAUCGGUAUAAGUUUUUAUAAAUGUAAUUGUUACCUGUAUUGAGAUUAAAAAAUUAUAGUGAUUUAGAUAAGAAAAAGAUUGUGUAAUACUUUUGAACUACGUUAAAUACGUAUAAUGAAUAUGGAACUGGACAUAAGAACUAAAAACAAAAGUAUUUAAAAUAUAUAGAACAUAUCGUUAAAUCGAACGUUCACAUAAAAUCUUUUCACAAUUUCACGAUUGAGUUUAUAUUAAAUUUAGAAUAAUUUGCUAUUGGAUGAAAAUAGUAAAGUAAAUAAUUUGCAAUUACAUAACUGAACAGGAGUCAAUUAAAAUAUUCUAUGUCUACAUAUUUUGUUGCUACGUGGGUAUGAACGGUGCAGUAUGUACCGUUUGUGGUCAUAGCAUGAUAGCUACAUUAUAUCUUUUCUCUAAAGAAUGGGAUACAUUUGCAAAUGAUAAAGGGUAGUCUGACGUCACAAUUUAUUUAUGAAAUGGCAGGACUGUAUGUUACUUUACUAAGCACUAAAAUAUUAAUGUGCACUGUACUCCAUCAUAACGAUCGAUUAUGGUUGGAUUUCGAACUAUGCAAAUGUCAGCAUAUCGAAAUACCGAAAAGUUAAAAUUUAAGCGCAACGUAAAGGGAUUGAAUAACUAUAUGAAAUCAAAAGGGAAAACGAGAUUUUUUUAAAUGGAUAAAAGAUGACCGUCUCUUAUCAAUACGAAGUUGCCAGCUCCACGAGCGGAGGAUUUACCAGACUUCUGCUUAUGUGGAGGGGUUCGCUCUACAAGCUUAUUUACAGAGAACUUGUACUCUUUGUGAUUAUGUUCGCAUCACUCUCGGCUAUUUAUCGUCAUGCUUUGACCGAUUUACAAAAGAGGGAAUUUGAGAAAUUCGUAAUAUAUUGUGAUACGUUCAUUAACUUAAUUCCUCUUAGCUUCGUGCUAGGAUUUUACGUGUCCCACGUAGCUGAUAGAUGGUGGAAACAAUAUAAUGCGAUACCUUGGCCGGAUAAGGUUAUGCAUCUAGUGGCACUUUAUGUUAGCGGAGAUGAUGAAUACGGUCGUAUGUUACGGAGAGGUCUUAUGAGAUAUUUGAAUCUCUCUCUAAUACUUGUACUACGUUCCAUUAGUUCGGCGGUAAAAAGACGGUUUCCAACUCUCGAUCACGUGGUAGAUUCCGGUUUCAUGACUUCCUUGGAAUUAGAUUUAUUUCAAUCGGUACCAAGUCUCGAAUUCAAUACCUACUGGAUCCCAUGUACAUGGUUUAUCAAUCUGUUGAAGGAAGCACGUCGAAACCAUAGGUUGCCCGAUGCGCAAGGUUUAAAAAUAAUUAUGGAGGAAUUCAAUGAUUUUCGCUCUAAAUGUGGACUCUUAUGGAGUUAUGACUGGGUUUCCAUACCUUUGGUUUACACGCAGGUCGUGACCCUUGCAACGUACAGUUUCUUUGCAGUUGCACUUGUUGGUCGUCAAUAUAUCGAGGGAAAUCAAAAACAAUUUCAGCUAAAAGUUGACAUAUAUUGUCCUCUAUUUACGAUUCUACAAUUUUUUUUCUUCAUGGGUUUAUUAAAGGUAGCUGAACAAUUGAUAAAUCCUUUUGGCGACGAUGACGAGGAUUUCGAAUUGAAUUGGCUUAUUGAUCGUCAUGUCAAGGUAUCAUAUUUGGGCGUGGAUACUUUGAUGACUCGCUGUCCGCCUCUCGUAAAAGAUAUUUACUUUGAUGCAGAAAAUCUUAUCUUACCUUACACCGAAGCAGCAGCAGCUUACAAGAGAAAGACUUAUCGUGGCAGCGUUGCAGAUAUGCCGGUGCCAGAAGAAAAGCAAACAAUGUUCUUACCAGGAAUAUUAGAAGAAGAGGAAGAACCCAGAAACACACCUCGUACGUCGAGUGCUAGUUUAGUAACGCAUACUGACAGUCCAAUGACUGAAAAGCGCCAGAUUAGCGGGUCACCUCAAACAACUCCAUCGAUGGUUAGUAACUCUAGUGAAACGGUUCUUCAAUUAGAUAAUCAAGAACAGCAACAACAACAACAACAGUGCGAAGCUGAGCAAGGCGAUCAACAACGCAGGCGUUUGACUGGUGCGAUGAGAAAAUUUUCAGCUAUUGCUAGGCAUACGAAUCCACGAAUUGAGUCGAAUCGAAAGCCUUUCUUUGCAGCAAUAAAAACACCCAAGAUAUUGCUGCAACCUUGGCCGAGUGCCACCAACUUAUCAGGAAUAAACCGUCAUCGAGGUCCCGACACGCCCGCACCAUUUACUGCUCCUAAAAUACUAUGCGUCCCACCAGCUUUACAGAUUUCAUUUACCGACGAAGCCGAAGAUCAAGAGAAUCGCGAAGGCUUUGAUAACUCUGCUUUUUUUCAUGAAGACGUUGACGAUCGUUACAUAGAGGAUCAGGACGAUAAUACAAUGGAUAAGUUAAAGAACGUUAAACAAUUUGAACGAUUCGUUUUAGCGGAUACUUCGGAAUGUUCAGAUGCGCAACUAGAAGCGAUAGAUCUACAGCGUUUCAGAGAAACUAUAGAACAGAGAUCAGAAAGCUUUUCUAACUAUCUUCUUCAAAGACAGUGUUCUUCAACCGGAUCUAGCGAUAAGAAGGGUGUUCAUUGGAGAACAGAUGAGAGACGACCUUCGUUGCUGGCUCGUCGGAAGACCAUUCACAGCGUCCCAACUUCUCUGCAAAUCAUCAUACCACAAGCAAGGAGUUCACCGAACUUAACCAAUAUAAAAGUUGAAGAGAAAAAGGUAGAGAAGCUAGAUACUUCCGAUGAAUCUGAAAAGGAUACCAAAGUUUAAAUAUCGGUAUAAUUCAUAUAUACUACAUAUUUGUGAGUACGAUAAAAUAUUUUAAUUUUGAUCGGUUUUUCCCGCCAUUAUUUAUCUUGUGCGACGUUUAUAUACUGAUUUAAAUAGGCUAAGUAUUAAUAUUAAUCUCUCUUCUUAUAGCAUUUGAUACAUUUGACAAAUUUUCUGCAACAUCAUGAUCAUAAUCAACAUAGAUAGUAAUAUCUAUAAUGAAAACAAAACAGAUUUGAUCAAGUAAUAAAAAUAUAACAUCUUUAAUGCACAUAUUUAUGAUAUUAUAUUGCUAUAAACCAUGUUAUGAUGCUAUAAAUUUAUUAGAAAUUUGUAAUAACAUUUUAACAUAUUAAUUUAUUUAAUCGUUUUACUGUCGGCCAAGAUUUAAAUAUUUAUAAAGAUAUAUUUAUUAGUUUCCAUCUCAGUAUUAUUAUAAAAUGACUGUAUUAUUAUAAAUUAAUUAUUUCUAUAAUUUGUAUAUGAUUCAAUUUAUGAUUUUUUAAAUUGUAAACAAUAACUAUUUGGCGGAAGAAGCUGUGCGAUUAAUAUAUUCUAUAUUUGUUGAAUAAUAGUAGCAUUUUAGAAUAAAUACUUAUAAUUAUUUUCAAAACAUUGGGAAUUGUUAUGUAUAUAUUGUAAAUAUUAGACCCCUGAAUGUUUCUUUAAACACAAUAGAAUAUUUCGUCAUUGUUGAUUAACUUCAAGCAUUUAUCUUCUUAUUAUGUUCAUGAACCUUUUAUGUAAUAAUAAAGGCAUGGAUUCUAAUUUGAUAAUUUAUUGUAUGUAUAACAAUUAAUAUAUAAUAAGUGUUAGUAAAUAAAUAGUAGAUGCAACCAUU